AUGGUAACAUGGGUAUAUUUAUUGGUUUUACUUACAAGUCAUCACUACCAUGGCCAUAAUCAGACCUGUUCAUUCCUUUUCUAUUUCUGUCCCCUAGGUUGCACAGUGAAGAAAGUAUCACAGAGGAAGAAAGUAGGUGGGGUUCUGAAGUCAAGAGCAAGACGGCUAAUUUCAGGAUUUAUUCCUAUUUGGAAGAAAAUGGAGGUGCAGCGCUGCUGACAAAUCUGCUAAGCCAAGUGUUUUGUUCCUCAUGACCAGAAUAUGCUAUUUCACUACAGAUCAGAGCCAGCAACUGAAGAGAACAAAUAUUUCUGGUGAAGAAUAGCAUCAUUUCAGUUUGUGAAAUGUUAUGCAACAAAGUAAUAAUCACGGCCUUCCUUGAAGGACAGUUAGGUAACACAUUCAUUAGAGCUUAGUUGAAGAAGCCUCUCAAAGAUCAAAGACUUCAUCUACA
rnacentral:lncRNA from 1 species